rnacentral:lncRNA from 1 species
AUUUUGUGUUGUUAAAGCUGCUAAACACAAGAAGCUUUAAUAUGAAUGAUUCCCGCAGCAGAACUUUUUCCCAAGUGACUUUGGGGUGUUUUGAGUAAAAAGUUCGAAUUUUGAGCCAAACCUGGUGAACAUUUUCGACUUCAAUUCGAUGCAAAUUAUCUGUUCUCUAUCAAGUUAAGAGCCUACUACACUAUCGUCAAACAUACGCGCAAAUUUUGUGGAAAUUGUAUGCGUUUUCCCAUCGUAAUCUUUCGUAGUAAAACCAAUUUAUUAAUUCAAAAGAGUGCGCAAAGCUAGUGUCCUACAUUCAUUAAGCUUUAUGAUUCUACAUUUCUUAAAUCAUGUAAACAUUCUUGUUCUACAUGAGAGCGCGUUUUUUUUUUCUUUGAAAAAUCAGGUCGAUGAUUCCGAGUUCGUUUAUCGUUUAUAUAAUAUGGCCGAUUCAGGUGCGUGAUUCAUACAAAAAUAGUCUUGAGAGAACCAAGCUUGAGGAAUUCGUUGCAAAAACCUAAAAGCAUGACUGAAAACCAUGUACAUGUACUGUAAAAAUGGUUCAUUACAAAAUGCAACAGCCGUAGAUCUUAAUGUUUGUUGUUCGCGUAAAUAUGAGGAAGUGCCUAUUCAGCAAAUCUGAGAGCCAAUCAGAAAAUGACACCACGGUGGACAUAAUCCGCCCACAGACGUCAUAAAAAACUGGUGCACGCUAGAUUGGCGCGAGUUAUCGAGGCGAAAUCGGUCGUGUUAGCAUCGAAAGUACAUAGAGAGUUCUAGGUAUGCCUGAAAAGUCAGAAUCGACAGGAAACUUGAACGAAGACAUAGGAUUUGUCAUGAAGGCAGGAUCCUCAGGAAAUACAACCAGAGACAAAGGAUGGUGUUCGUGCAUAAUCUUGUGACAUUAAGGUAAGCUUGAGUUAGUUUAUAUGCUACUGCCGCACACAAUGACUUAGUCUUACGCCUUCUCCUGAUAUUUAACAACACACAUGAUAUACGCUACAAGAAACAAAAUGAGUAAAGGAUAUGUAUUUCUAAUGAAACUGUGGUGCAGCGUUAGUUAGAGAGUAUAACAGGGUAAUUUAGUGUUAUAAACUGAGUUGAUAACGUAAAUUGGCCACCGUAAAGAGUAAGAGGGCUGACGUUUCGAGCUUUAACCCUUCGUCAAGGCGACAGAAGGAGAACUCUUCGUAAGAGCGAUGAAAGAAACAUGGCGACAACAGCCAGGAGAAAAAAAUGCUCAAAAGCAGAAACUCUAAACAGAAAUGUUCGAACGUUGCGUCCAAAAACGGGAAAAAUAACUAAAUGUCUGUUUUAUUACUGCGUCAUUUCAGCAUUUGUCUUUCGAUCGCUAACAUCUUUUGCGUCUAUGUUUCAGACUAUAUGACGACCAUGGCGACGACUGUGUACUGCUGUAAAAGACCCCGAAGAUCACGCUAUUUGGAAGAGAACUAAUGAAGCCCUUCGUCACGAGGACUGAUGUGUUUCUCCCUGUUAAAAAUUCUGGAGUUAAUUACAGUUAGGACACGUUGCGCAUCGACUACAAUAUAUUUUACUCGUAUAAGGAGUUAGAAAUUGAGUUUUUUAGAAUUUUUUCACAUAUUAUGGAAAUUUUCGGCUAAGUGCUGUUUAUUUGACCCGAGUUUGAUGACAAAGCGAUGUAAAAUUUGAGUUAUAAAUUUACUCGUGUGUGGCGCACGUCAGGAACCGAUGUAAAAGAGAUGGAGUUAAUAAACGAAGAAAGUAACAUGA